rnacentral:lncRNA from 1 species
AAUAGUUAAUUUGUUAUUGGGUAUUUAAUAAAGAUGGUAGGACAAUUUCGUUUGCUAACAUGUUUCAACCGAUGUUAGUUAAUGAUGUUAACAAAAGAGGGUAAAAGUAAUGUAAAAAAAAGGGAGAAAUAUUAUGUGCAAUUAGAAAAACACAUAGGGUGCAUGUGAAACAAAGAUGUUACGAAAAUUUCGUAUGUUCACAUAUUUCAGUUUACGUAGUUAAUGAAGUUGACGAAAGGAGAUAAAAGUAAUGUAAAAAAAGAGAGGGGUAUCGAGU